UACAGAGGGGGCAAGCGUUGUUCGGAAUUACUGGGCGUAAAGGGCGCGUAGGCGGCCUUCUAAGUCGAACGUGAAAUCCCCGGGCUCAACCCGGGAACUGCGUCCGAUACUGGAAGGCUUGAAUCCGGGAGAGGGAUGCGGAAUUCCAGGUGUAGCGGUGAAAUGCGUAGAUAUCGGGAGGAACAUCAGUGGCGAAGGCGGCCUUCUGGUCCAGUACUGACACUCAAGUGCGAAAGCGUGGGGAGCGAACAGG
rnacentral:rRNA from 1 species